GUCAACACACCCCCACUAGAAGUGGGGGCUUACAGGAGCAAUCCUACAGGCUCCAAGUUGACCAGACUCAGCAUUUUUUAAGUGCUACGUUACCCACCAUUUAAUAUUCAAGCCAUCCCGCCACAAGAGAACUGGAUGGGAAACUAACGUUAAGGCAAAAAGGAGGUAAGCCGUUUUCCU
rnacentral:sRNA from 1 species